GGGUGACUGCGUACCUUUUGUAUAAUGGGUCAGCGACUUAUAUUCUGUAGCAAGGUUAACCGAAUAGGGGAGCCGUAGGGAAACCGAGUCUUAACUGGGCGAAUGAGUUGCAGGGUAUAGACCCGAAACCCGGUGAUCUAGCCAUGGGCAGGUUGAAGGUUGGGUAACACUAACUGGAGGACCGAACCGACUAAUGUUGAAAAAUUAGCGGAUGACUUGUGGCUGGGGGUGAAAGGCCAAUCAAACCGGGAGAUAGCUGGUUCUCCCCGAAAGCUAUUUAGGUAGCGCCUCGUGAACUCAUCUUCGGGGGUAGAGCACUGUUUCGGCUAGGGGGUCAUCCCGACUUACCAACCCGAUGCAAACUACGAAUACCGAAGAAUGUUAUCACGGGAGACACACGGCGGGUGCUAACGUUCGUCGUGAAGAGGGAAACAACCCAGACCGCCAGCUAAGGUCCCAAAGUCAUGGUUAAGUGGGAAACGAAGUGGGAAGGCUCAGACAGCCAGGAUGUUGGCUUAGAAGCAGCCAUCAUUUAAAGAAAGCGUAAUAGCUCACUGGUCGAGUCGGCCUGCGCGGAAGAUGUAACGGGGCUAAACCAUGCACCGAAGCUGCGGCAGCGACAUGUAAAUGUUGUUGGGUAGGGGAGCGUUCUGUAAGCCUGUGAAGGUGUGCUGCGAGGCAUGCUGGAGGUAUCAGAAGUGCGAAUGCUGACAUAAGUAACGAUAAUGCGGGUGAAAAACCCGCACGCCGGAAGACCAAGGGUUCCUGUCCAACGUUAAUCGGGGCAGGGUGAGUCGACCCCUAAGGCGAGGCAGAAAUGCGUAGUCGAUGGGAAACAGGUUAAUAUUCCUGUACUGGUGAUAAUUGCGAUGGGGGGACGGAGAAGGCUAGGCUGGCCGGGCGACGGUUGUCCCGGUUUAAGGAUGUAGGUGGGUGAAUUAGGCAAAUCCGGUUCGCUAUACACUGAGGUCUGAUGACGAGUCACUACGGUGGCGAAGUAGCUCAUGCCCCGCUUCCAGGAAAAGCCUCUAAGCUCUAGAUUAUCAUUAAUCGUACCCCAAACCGACACAGGUGGUCAGGUAGAGAAUACUCAGGCGCUUGAGAGAACUCGGGUGAAGGAACUAGGCAAAAUGGUGCCGUAACUUCGGGAGAAGGCACGCUGGCAUUAGGUGAAGUGGUUUACCCAUGGAGCUGAAGCCAGUCGCAGAUACCAGCUGGCUGCAACUGUUUAUUAAAAACACAGCACUGUGCAAACACGAAAGUGGACGUAUACGGUGUGACGCCUGCCCGGUGCUGGAAGGUUAAUUGAUGGGGUUAUCCGUAAGGAGAAGCUCUUGAUCGAAGCCCCAGUAAACGGCGGCCGUAACUAUAACGGUCCUAAGGUAGCGAAAUUCCUUGUCGGGUAAGUUCCGACCUGCACGAAUGGCGUAAUGAUGGCCAGGCUGUCUCCACCCGAGACUCAGUGAAAUUGAACUCGCUGUGAAGAUGCAGUGUACCCGCGGCAAGACGGAAAGACCCCGUGAACCUUUACUAUAGCUUGACACUGAACAUUGAGCCUUGAUGUGUAGGAUAGGUGGGAGGCUUUGAAGUGUGGACGCCAGUCUGCAUGGAGCCAACCUUGAAAUACCACCCUUUAAUGUUUGAUGUUCUAACGUCGCCCCAUAAUCUGGGGUGCGGACAGUGUCUGGUGGGUAGUUUGACUGGGGCGGUCUCCUCCCAAAGCGUAACGGAGGAGCACGAAGGUUGGCUAAGCAUGGUCGGACAUCAUGCGGUUAGUGCAAAGGCAUAAGCCAGCUUGACUGCGAGAGUGACGGCUCGAGCAGGUACGAAAGUAGGUCUUAGUGAUCCGGUGGUUCUGAAUGGAAGGGCCAUCGCUCAACGGAUAAAAGGUACUCCGGGGAUAACAGGCUGAUACCGCCCAAGAGUUCAUAUCGACGGCGGUGUUUGGCACCUCGAUGUCGGCUCAUCACAUCCUGGGGCUGAAGUAGGUCCCAAGGGUAUGGCUGUUCGCCAUUUAAAGUGGUACGCGAGCUGGGUUUAGAACGUCGUGAGACAGUUCGGUCCCUAUCUGCCGUGGGCGUUGGAAGAUUGAAAGGGGCUGCUCCUAGUACGAGAGGACCGGAGUGGACGCACCGCUGGUGUUCGGGUUGUCAUGCCAAUGGCACUGCCCGGUAGCUAAGUGCGGAAGAGAUAACCGCUGAAAGCAUCUAAGCGGGAAACUUGCCUUGAGAUGAGUCUUCCCUGACUCUUUAAGGGUCCUAAAGGAACGUUUAAGACGAAGACGUUGAUAGGCUGGGUGUGUAAGCGUAGCGAUACGUUGAGCUAACCAGUACUAAUGAACCGUGAGGCUUAACCUGACAACACCGAAGGUGUUUUAG
rnacentral:rRNA from 1 species